UACAGAGGUCUCAAGCGUUGUUCGGAUUCAUUGGGCGUAAAGGGUGCGUAGGCGGCGCGGUAAGUCGGGUGUGAAAUCUCGGAGCUUAACUCCGAAACUGCAUUGGAAACUGUCCUGCUGAGAGGGUUGGAGGGGGACGUGGAAUACUUGGUGUAGCAGUGAAAUGACGUAGAUAUCAAGUGGAACACCGGUGGCGAAGGCGAGUCCCUGGACAACACCUGACACUGAGGCACGAAAGCUAGGGGAGCAAACAGG
rnacentral:rRNA from 1 species